rnacentral:rRNA from 1 species
UGCCCAUUAGAGGGGGAUAACAUCCGGAAACGGAUGCUAAAACCGCAUAGGUCUUCGAGCCGCAUGGCUUGAAGAGGAAAAGAGGCGCAAGCUUCUGCUGAUGGAUGGACCCGCGGUGCAUUAGCUAGUUGGUGAGGUAACGGCUCACCAAGGCCGUGAUGCAUAGCCGACCUGAGAGGGUGAUCGGCCACAUUGGGACUGAGACACGGCCCAAACUCCUACGGGAGGCAGCAGUAGGGAAUCUUCCGCAAUGGACGCAAGUCUGACGGAGCAACGCCGCGUGAGUGAAGAAGGUUUUCGGAUCGUAAAACUCUGUUGNUAGAGAAGAACAAGUGCUAGAGUAACUGUUA